rnacentral:rRNA from 1 species
GAUGAACGCUGGCGGCGUGCCUAAUACAUGCAAGUCGAGCGAACAGACGAGGAGCUUGCUCCUCUGACGUUAGCGGCGGACGGGUGAGUAACACGUGGAUAACCUACCUAUAAGACUGGGAUAACUUCGGGAAACCGGAGCUAAUAUCGGAUAAUAUAUUGAACCGCAUGGUUCAAUAGUGAAAGACGGUUUUGCUGUCACUUAUAGAUGGAUCCGCGCCGCAUUAGCUAGUUGGUAAGGUAACGGCUUACCAAGGCAACGAUGCGUAGCCGACCUGAGAGGGUGAUCGGCCACACUGGAACUGAGACACGGUCCAGACUCCUACGGGAGGCAGCAGUAGGGAAUCUUCCGCAAUGGGCGAAAGCCUGACGGAGCAACGCCGCGUGAGUGAUGAAGGUCUUCGGAUCGUAAAACUCUGUUAUUAGGGAAGAACAAAUGUGUAAGUAACUAUGCACGUCUUGACGGUACCUAAUCAGAAAGCCGCGGCUAACUACGUG